GACGAACGCUGGCGGCGUGCUUAACACAUGCAAGUCGAACGGUGAAGGGAAGCUUGCUUCCCGGAUCAGUGGCGAACGGUGAGUAACACGUGGGCAAUCUGCCCCAGACUUUGGGAUAACUACUCGAAAGAGUAGCUAAUACCGAAUAUUCAGCCUUGCAGGCAUCUGCGAGGCUGGAAAGUUUCUCGGUCUGGGAUGAGCCCGCGGCCUAUCAGCUAGUUGGUGAGGUAAUGGCUCACCAAGGCGACGACGGGUAGCCGGCCUGAGAGGGCGACCGGCCACACUGGGACUGAGACACGGCCCAGACUCCUACGGGAGGCAGCAGUGGGGAAUAUUGCGCAAUGGGCGAAAGCCUGACGCAGCAACGCCGCGUGCGGGAUGAAGGCCUCGGUGUAACGCUUCUAGCAGGAAGAAGCGAAAGUAGACGGUACCUGCAGAAGAAG
rnacentral:rRNA from 1 species